rnacentral:lncRNA from 1 species
AGCAACAAAUAAUAAAGGGGACAUGAGAUGAAGGGGAGAACCUUUCAGUCNUAAACGAAGGUGCUAUCUUUAUCGAAAAAAACAAAAUUUCAAGCCGGUCCUUUGAAAAAUAAAAUUUCAAGCUGGUCCAUAUAGGAAAAGAAGAACAAAAUUAUAAAUUGAAAUAAUCUACUAUGCCUUUAACAGCAUAAGCUAGCAAUAGGAACCAAGUAACUGCUAUCAAUAUCUGGAUUCCUUUUGAGAAUACCAUAUCUUCGUUGGAGAUCACUUCCCAGUUAACAAUGAUAAGCGAUAAAAUCAAGAUGCCCCAACCGAUGAAAAAUUAAUUAAUGAAAAGCAUAGCAUGAGGGUAAAUCGAAGAGAUAGAGUACCUACCUUUGAUUUAUUGGUUGAUACUUAGAUUCUUCCAUCGGAUUCACUUGAUUUUUUGUGUGCUGGAGUAGAGAGAUCUUUAAUAAAUAUUGUUUGAAGGCUUAACGGAAGAAGACCUAAAAGGUUCGUUAUUGAAUCAAUUUUAUUUUAUUUUUAUUUGUGUGAAAAAACAUUACAUUUCACGUAC